rnacentral:sRNA from 1 species
AGGAGGAGGGAUCACUUGAGUUGAGCUCUGCCGACUAGAUUGCAUUUCUGUGGGAAGAGAUGGAUGGAGCAUGAGGAAGGCCAUGUGUGUGUCUGGGACAUAACAAGCCAAUGCACGCAUACUGGAGCAUAGUGAAAGAGUCUAUUUUGAAGCUUCAAACGUAGUGCUGCUGCAGACCAGGAACAAGAGAGAAAGAGUGGAUUUCAGCCUGCACGGAUGGUCUUGAAACACAAAUGGUUUUUGGUCUAGGCGUUUUACACUGAGAUUCUCCACUGCCACCCUUUCUACUCAAGCAAAAUCUUCGUGAAAAGAUCUGCUGCAAGGAACUGAUAGCUUAUGGUUCUCCAUUGUGAUGAAAGCACAUGGUACAGUUUUCCAAAGAAAUUAGACCAUUUUCUUCGUGAGAAAGAAAUCGACGUGCUGUUUUCAUAGGGUAUUUCUCACUUCUCUGUGAAAGGAAGAAAGAACACGCCUGAGCCCUAGAGCCCUCAGGAGCCCUCCAGAGCCUGUGGGAAGUCUCCAUGGUGAAGUAUAGGCUGAGGCUACCUGGGAACAGUACGCAGUGAAUGUUAUCUGAUGCACAAAGGAAAAUAAUAAUACAAAACCCAUAACCUAUUCAUUGUAUUGUUGUGGUAGAUCGAGUUACAUGCUGCACAGCAAAAGACCUUCUUUGCACUUCUUUCAAGCAGAAUUAUUGCUGUAUAUUCACUCUGAACUGAGAGAUCAUUGCAAAAAAAAAAAAAAAAAAAGAAGAAGAAGAAAAGAAAAGAAAAAAGAAAUAGGUUAAGCAAAUUUUGUGGUGGUGCUUAUGUGUGCACAGACAUGCAUGAGGCCUCCGCAUCUUCCAAACUUGGAAAGCAUAUUUUAACAGCACAAAUAUAUCUACAUGUUUGAUC